UGGGGAAUUUUGGACAAUGGGGGCGACCCUGAUCCAGCAACGAUGCGUGGAGGACGAAGGUUUUCGGAUUGUAAACUCCUUUUGAGAGGGAAGAAAAAAAUGACGGUACCUCUCGAAUAAGCCACGGCUAACUACGUGCCAGCAGCCGCGGUAAGACGUAGGUGGCAAGCGUUACUCGGAAUUACUAGGCGUAAAGCGCGCGUAGGCGGAAUGUUAAGUUUGGUGUGAAAACUAUUGGCUCAACCAAUAGAUUGCACUCAAAACUACUUUUCUUGAGUGAAGUAGAGGCAGGCGGAAUUCCUAGUGUAGCGGUGAAAUGCGUAGAUAUUAGGAGGAACACCAGUGGCGAAGGCGGCCUGCUGGGCUUUUACUGACGCUGAGGCUCGAAAGUGUGGGUAGCAAACA
rnacentral:rRNA from 1 species